GAGACCAUUAUGAUAAUGCAGCAGGGCCACCAGUCAGUUUCAGAUAAUGAUGUCAACCCCGGCCACCAAGAAGUAACCUUGUCUCCACUAGACAGAGCAGGUUGCAGGAAUUUAGCCAAUUCAGAGGUCUUGUUCUCCAUAAUUUGGAAUUUUCCUUCGGAUUUGAUCAAGUUGGAUAGAGUUGGUCAAACCCAAUGGGAAAAAGAUGAAAACAACAAGAAACAGAAACAAACAGCAACAACAACAACAACAAAAACAAUGCAUUUAAUUAAAUGAAGAUGAGCUCAUGCUGGAGUAGGGUGGACUCUGAACCCAGUGGGACAAGCGUCCUUAUUAAGAAGAGGGAAAUCUGGACACACACAGAGCAGAGACCGCCGUGUGAAGAUGGAGGCAGAGAUCGGAGAGAUGCUGCCACACGCCACAAAUGCCUGGGGCUCCCAGAAACUACACGGAGCCUCCCCCAGCGGCUUCAGCAGGAGCAUGGCUCGGCCAACACUUUGAUCUUGGUCUUCCAGCCUCCAGAACGGUGAGUCGUUUUCCUAAAAUUCCCUUUUCCACUGGUGUGUGGUGCAAGAUGAGGCACAUUUUCCAUGGAUGGUGAACAGAGGGAGGAGCCUUUUGAUCACAACCAGGUCACCCCACUUCUAAGCCACUGUGCCUCCAGCCCCACAAGACUAAGGAGAGAGAGCGCAGCGUGGUGGAGAGUGAGCUGUGCUGGGACCAUUGUUUCCGUAACCUCGUUUUCUGUGUCCAGCUGACACACCUUCAAAGUGGCAUCAGGUCCUAAACUGUAGCUUGCAAUGUGCCUGUUUCCAGAAACCAAGGUGAAAGUGCUUUUAGACAGUGUUCCCAUGCAAGAGUCCCUUCCCAGCUUUUUUCUGGAAAUGCAUGUUUCUCUGAACUCUGAGUCCCAAGAAAAAUCACUUGAGACACCAAGAAAAUGGGGGAAGUGCUAAAAUUGUGUGGGAAUUCAAGCUUAACAAUAAACAUCAAGACAUUUUUGAUAAAAAUGAAUCCACUGACAUCGGGGAGGAGCAAGAGAACAGCACGCUGACACUGGGUCAGAGGCUAAGACCGACAUUUCUGGGAACCACUCCCGGA
rnacentral:lncRNA from 1 species